UUACAUAACAGUGACAACUGUCAAGCAAUCCCAUUUGGACCAAACAUGAGUUUGAGGAAUUCCAGAGAGAUCAUUCCAGAUUUGACCCAAAGAGUCUUCUGAAAUAUUAGACAGAGUCUCAUAUUGUUGCUCAGACAUGAGGGUAGUGGCAUGAUCAUAGUUCACUGCAACUUCCAACUCCUGGGCUCAAGCGAUCCUCCUGCCUCAGCCUCCUGAGUAGCUGGAACCACAGGGCCAGAGUAAAAGCAACUCUCCUACUUGGAAUGGUGGCAUUUAUCCUCAAAUUUAUUACUUUAAAUACACCUGCCUGACUCUGACCAGAGAGCAAAGUGAACUUCACCAAUAAUGGGACAAAUUGACAUUACGUGUCUUCUGAUUGACACUGAGGGGAACACAGUGCCACUCUCCUGUGAUCUCCCUGGCCAAGUCAUAAGCAAACAUCACAUGAACCCAAAUUGAGGGGAUUCUACAAAAUAAUCGGCAUAAAAUCUUUAAAAAUAUUGAAGUCAUGAAAGACAAGAAAAGUUUGGAGAAUCAUUCCAGAUUGAAGAAGACUGAAGAGACAUCAAAAGCAAAUGUACAUAUGAUCUUAGAUCGGAUUAAAAAAACCGGAAAAACAAAUCACUUCUGUACAUAUUGGAACAAUAGGUGAAUUGGGAGGGUGGAUUAGAUGGCGAUAUUAGGUGAUGAUACUGUAUCAAUGUCAACUUCCUGCUUUUGAUGGGUGAAUUGUGGUUAAGUAGGAGAAUGUCCUUGUCUUUUAGGAAAUUCACACUGACAUUUCUUGUGGGACUGGGGUAUCAUGUCUCCAACUCUCAAUUGUUUCAGGAAAAUAGAAAAUAGAUAGAUAAAUAAUGAUAAAGCUAAAGUGGAAAAAUAUCAGCAAUUGAGGAACCUGAGCAAA